GGGCCAUUAGCUCAGUUGGCUAGAGCGCUGCAUUCGCAUUGCAGAGGUCAUCGGUUCGAAUCCGAUAUGGUCCACCA
rnacentral:tRNA from 1 species